rnacentral:rRNA from 1 species
UACGUAGGGUGCGAGCGUUGCCCGGAUUUAUUGGGCGUAAAGGGCGCGUAGGCGGUGAGAUGCGUCCGUUGUGAAAUCGCCCGGCUCAACUGGGCGGGGUCAGCGGAUACGGUCUCACUUGAGCAAGCUAGGGGGCAAUGGAAUUCCCGGUGUAGUGGUGGAAUGCGCAGAUAUCGGGAGGAACACCAGUGGCGAAGGCGGUUGCCUGGGGCUUGGCUGACGCUGAGGCGCGAAAGCGUGGGGAGCGAUCCGG